UUGGGCUGCCGCAACUUUAAAAUACGAACAAACAAUUUCUGAUCGCCGGUUUUUCUUCUGUUGCAAGCAAAAGUGAUAAAAAAGGAUUUUUCGCGGAAAAUAUACAUUUAAAAGUUUGUGUUUUUUAAAAAAGUGUUUGUGAACUGAUUGUUGGUAUUAGAAAAAGUGUAUAAACCGUGAAAAUAGUGUUUUGAAAAGAUCUAUGCCCGCAAUGGCGGCAAUAAGAUUGAAUACAAAAUAUAACAGUUCCGGCAUGUUUCGUAUUAAGUGAUUUCGAGAGCAGUUAAAUCAAAAGCUUUAACUUCAAUCGCAUUUGUCUUUACAAUGUCCAAUUACGCUGUAGAUGAUCAAAUUUCUUAACACGAAAAUGCAAAAGCAAGUAGUAGAAAUCAUGUUAGUCAAGAUGGAGUUUGCAUGCCCAAAUCCUACGAAGCGAAAUUAAAGAACUUGCCGAAACUGCAAUAUAAUCUACAAUACUUCAUGAAACUCCCUUAGAACGAUCUUCUGUCGCAUUAUACCCCCCUAUGUUCCACGAGGAAUUGUAAUCCUGCUAGUUCAACAAUGAGAGGAAGCUGAUUUAUCAUGGUUCAUAUUCACAUCACCCUGGGGGAAUGUAGAAUAAAGAAUGUAGAAAUAAUAAAAUAAAAAGCAAGUAACAAAGAUCUAGAAAAAUAAAAAAAAGAAAAGUUAUUUAUAUUAUAUAUAUAUUUAUAUUUGUAAAGAAAAAAGUAUAAAAAUCAAUUUCAAAAUAAUAAAAAGUUAUAUUAAAAAAAUAUAUUUAAAUAUGUAACCUAAGUAAAAAAUUGUAAAAGAGUAUUUCAGCCGGGCAGAACUCAAGAUACUCACCGUCAUAGACACUUAUCCAAUAUCGAUAUUGAUUUAUUUUCUUUAUUUCAAUUAAUUACUUCAUAUAAUAACAAAUAAUGAGUAUUUUUAAUAAAGAAACUGUAUAUUGUCA